AACACAUCCAUUUGUAUUGCCACUUAUUAUUGUCCUUGCCAUCCAUGGCUUUUAGGCGUUCCGCCCGGCUAAGCUUAGUCGCUCGAUCGACCUUGUCGGAGUGUGCACCUCGUUUACCGGUCGACCCCGCCAGCGUAUUAUCCCUACGAGCUCUUUCUCAAACCUCCUUCAAAACAAUCACACCAGUUGGUUUAGUGCCCUUCCAAAUCAUCCUUUCUUGUUGAAAAUAAUGUGGACCAGCCCAGUUCAGCCCAUCUGGGAGUUUAGGGACAGAGCGACAACAGACCAAAACAAAUGAAAUUACGGAAGCAAGAAGUACGUUGCACCAGGCGUAAAAGAGACACAACAUGCUUCAUGUGCCAUUAUGCACCAUUUUUUAUAUCCAAUUUUGAUAAUCAUUAAUAAUAAGGUUAAAUUGCUCAAGCUUGCACCCGUCCUCACACAAAUCAACAACCUCCAAGGGCCGGAGCCCAGCCAGACAUAGUUCUCCUUUCAGUUUUUGCACAACUUGCUAAACAAAUCACUAACUACAUUUUAACCAUGGUUGAUAUGAGUAAUAAGGGUCAUACAAAGAGACUUCAAAUGCUUGAUCUCCGCCACCAAAGAAGCAUACACAUACCUGUUUGUGUCCCUCCCAUUCAGAAUAUUCACCGCUGAAAAUGAGUAAAUCUCGAUGCAAGCUGGUAGUUCAGUUUGUUGUAUAGCAAUAGAUAACUCCUUCAAGUUCGGACGUGAAGAAGCCAACAUACCAUUCUUCAUCUGAUGGAAGAGUAGCUUUGCAUAGAACAAUCAUUUUUCUUUUGUUUUUCU
rnacentral:lncRNA from 1 species